rnacentral:lncRNA from 1 species
AUUAGAGGUGGUUAGAAGAUUCAGGGCAGAACCUUCAACAACCUCCUGCCCAGAAGUCUCCAGAGCUAGACCCUCAAGUUUGUCAGGAACAUUGCCUCUUCUCCACGGUACUCCAGCAAAGCAGACCCGCAGCAAGAGGACAGAACAAUCAGAGGAAGCUGCACAGGCAGAAGCCUCCUCUAGACCUCCUUCUUGCAGCCUGUCUUCCACCCACACUGCCUGUCACGGUCUAAGAUGGAAAUGAGAAGCCUCCUUCACCGACGGCUCCUUUUCUCUGCUCACCUCAGCAGUCUCCUACAUUAGACUUGGAAGGAAUCUUUCCAAGUUCCUGACAUAAGGAGAGCUUUGAGUUCAUCCAAACCCUGGGAGGGAGGAGACUUGAGAGGAGCAUGAAUGAAUGACACACCUGGCCCAGAGACCGUGCUGAAACCCACCCUAGACCGUGGUGAAGUGCUCUGGGUUCAAAGCUUGGCUCCUCCACUCCUUAGCCAUGUCAGUUUGGGUUGGUAACAUUAACCUCCCAGUGCCUCAUGUUCCUCAUCCGCUAAAUAUGGAAAAGAAUAGGAAUCAUUUCAUACGACGGUUGUAUCAGCGCACUUGGAACAGUGUCCAGCAAUGGUCAGUCCACAAUAUUGUCGAUACACUAGGAUUGUGAUCGUCAUCCCUCACCGAGUCUCCAGCGAGGAGGAAGGUGCCGGACGUGUGAGAGCGCUAACCACAGGCCUGACCACAAGAAGGGACCUCUGAGUGCUCACGGCACAGUCAGAGGAGUCACCGACGGGAUGCGGAGCUGGGCAGCCCUGAGUUCCGACCCGGGCUCUGCCCUCGGUUUUCUCCUCUGUCCGACGGGCUGUGGGGGUUACGCAGCCUAACGAGCGGAAGCGCUGUGAACGUGGCGAGGCCGCGAAUACAGGCCAUCACGGCUGUCGACCAGGAGGCGGAGAGCUUCAGCCCGCGAGCUCGGGACGGGAACGCCGGGGUCAGAGAGCGAAGGUCCCCACCCGGCUCACUCUUCCUCUCUGAGGUCCUGCUCUGCCCGGACGGCCACCCUUCCGCUGCCCGGGCCCAGGUUCAGACCCGCCGCAGCACGCGGUCCUCAGCCCCGGCGCGACCGCAGAAUCGCCUGCGGGACGCUAGACACGUCAGCGGCGGGCGCCCCGAGACCCCGCAUUGACCAGCAGCCGGGGACGCCCCCGGAGCAGCUGAGCUACCCGCUUGUGAUUGGCUUAGAAAUGCUCACGCGAUGCCUCUCUGGCCAAUGAGGGGUGAGGAUGAGUCCCCAGGGGAUUCUGGGAAGGGCUUUUCUCCUGACACAGAGAAAGAGCGAGAGACCGAGAGAGACGGAGACAGAGGGAGAGGAGAAGGAGGAGCUCCAGGGCCGCUAUGACGGUGUGUGCUGGUGGCCUCUGAGGUGGUCCCGGGUGGUGGUCCCCGGAUGGUGGUCCCCGUGAGGUGGUUCCUAAGGUCGUCCCGGGUGGUGGUCCCCGUGUGGUGGUCCCAUGAGGUGGUCCCCUGAGGUGGUCCCGGAUGGUGGUCCCCAUGAGGUGGUCCCAUGAGGUGGUCCCAGGUGGUGGUCCCCGGGUGGUGGUCCCCGUGAGGUGGUUCCUAAGGUCGUCCCCGUGAGGUGGUCCCAUGAGGUGGUCCCGGGUGGUGGUCCCCGUGUGGUGGUCCCAUGAGGUGGUCCCCUGAGGUGGUCCCUUGUGGUGGUCGCCAUGAGGUGGCCAUGUCAGGUCAGGACCCACGGAAGGGGUGGGGUGGGGUCCUUGGGGCUCCACCAGCCCAGCGUCCGGCUUCCCCGAGGCGAGAGCAAAAGUGAAGGAGCGAAAUCAGCAACAGCUGCGGAGCCUCCCUGCAGGCAGCCCUGGCAGCUCCGGCCUCGCUGCUCCUGUUACGGCUCUCCUGCCCCAGUGAGGCCGAAGGACCUUUCAUCUUCUGGGAAAUCGUCUGCGGGAGAGGUAACACCACAAGUGUUUCCACCCCGAGUCCUCCAAAAGCCCGACCGGAAGCUCAUCCCCUCGCCGAGGGAAUGCUGGCUGCAGCCGGGAGUG